UUUUCAUCAUGAACCUCACAAACAUUGGGAGCCUGGAUUGAGAGAGAAAAAUCCUUCCCUUUAUUCUUCACACGGCGACACAGUGCAAUCGGGCUUGGGCUUUCUUCUGUUACAGUGUGCGUCAGAAGCAUUAUUUCCUCUCUUCUGUGACUCUCUCCAAUCCAGCAAUGGACGACGACAUCUUCGACGGAUCUUGGGAAGGUGAUGACCUAUCUUGGUGUCUUCUACCAGCGAAGGGUUAUACAUCCAGCGCGGCGAGUUUCUUCUCGCGAUCCACUCCAAUCCAGCAACGGCGGGGUGAGAUUUGACCUAGGGUUCUCACCAGAGUGGUUCUGCUCUGGUGGUUCCUUCCCUUCUCUCCCAAAUCGGUGUCCAACUGCAGAUGUGGUAUCGAACGUAGAGCAUCCUAGAGAGGCAAGUGGCGUCGGUGCUCUUCUUCUUCUCUACUACAAGCGGCGUCGGUGCUCUUCUUCUUCUCUACUAAUUGUUGGGUCAUCAUCUUCUUCGGCAAGGUUUCAUCUCCCAUUCCCGUCCCUUCCUCAGAGGAGACCUCCUAGCGAUGUGAUUGCGAAAAGUAGGGGACUCCUCGAGGGAAGGAAUCCGAUCUCUUUUCAUGCAGAAGCCAGCUCAAGCUCAUCACAAUUCUAGUAGAGCAAUAAAUACUUUCUUCUCAAUUUCAGCCGACAAUUUCCUCUGUUCAUCUCCAUUCUUCUUCUCCGGCUGGUUGCUGGUUCUUUUUCUUCACUGUUGUGCUGGAAUCUUGAGUUAGUGCCCUUGAUGUUAUAAUUGUGUAUUGGUUCUUGCUAUCCAUCAAAGUUGUUCAAUUCAGGAUGGUUUAUUAUCAGAGGUCAGUCGCAUGUGUUGCUGUCACAUAUGAAAUAUUUGAUGGCUUAAAUUUGGAAACACUUUUUCCUCACAAUCUCUUGCGGGAAAAGGAUAAUAUCCAACUUAGAGGUGUCAAUUAUAUCCUUAAUGGAAAUGACAAGUCAAUUUGAGGAAUUUUUUACAUAAGUAUUCAAUUAUUUUGCACUUAUUUAAUAUUGAAUUGAGAUCCAGAAUAAAAUGGAUUUCUGAAAUAGAUUUGUACUUCCUUCAUUGAGGUAAAGGGAAAUGAUCUGAUUUGAAAUUUCAUGAGAAUUGAGUUAGUAAAGUUCAGAAAAAGAUAUGAUAGGGCAAGUUCAGGAUUGAUUUCUGAAAGCUGUUCGCUGGCUCUUGGUUCCAAAUCCAGGUCCUUCAUGUGAUGGUUGAGGAUAGUCGAAUUAGAGUUGAUCGUAGAAGAGUGGUUUGGUUAACUUAGUUUGCUUUCAUAUUUUAUUCUAUGGUUAUGUUCUUAUGCAUUUUGGAUUGUUUAGUUUCUCACGUUAUUUAGUUUCACUUAUGCUUGAUUGUUGAUCUUGUAUCAUAGGGUGACAAUGUGGUGCAUGUUGAUUGGUUAUGCAUAAUUAGGUUUUAUUUAUUGCUAUUAAAUUAUUUAGUUCAUUUGUGUUCAUAUUUUGCCUAUUGAUAGAUGUGCUUAUGUUGUAAUGUGAUAAUGUGGUGCAAGUAAUCUUUCAUAGUUAGAUAGGAUUGUUAAUUAGUUUCAUUUAUGUAAGUUUAUUCUGUAGAAGAUGGUGCUUGUAGCAUAGAGUGACACUGCGCUAUAGGUUCAUCAUUGUUGGCUAGAUAGGAUUUCAUUUAUUGUAUUAGGUUUAGGGAACAACCCCCAAAACAAAACACGUUGGUUCGAUUUUAUCUAAAAACAAAUGUCCUGCCAUUAGUUCUACGAGAGAGACGAUUUGGUCAUCUACUAUACUACCUUAGUGUAAGUCAAGGGAUUUGGUUAAUUAGAAAUUAUUAAUUUGAUCUAAUCGAGUGAUAGACGCAUGCUAUCAAAUUUUGGUAUUGUUGUUGGGGAAGUAGUGAUGUUCGAUUGUUUUUAUACUGUACAUAAGUUUUAUCUUAAUCUUAUUUUUGCUUUUCUAUUUUGUUAUUUUAUUUUUCUUUCAUUGUAAUUGUUAGAAUCUCCCUUUUGCUUUUGAACAUUAUAGGAGGAAGGAAAGGGGUGAUGGGAGUAAUACUCCCAGCUACACCAUGAAUAAAUUAAAGACCUAUUUUGGUCACACUUCAUCAUUUAUACCACCUUCUCUAUUUUUCAAUAUUUUCAUUUCAAUUUUUUUUUUCAAUUUUAUUCUCUCUUAUUUCUAUUUCUUUGGUGGUUGUCAAAAUUCAAAAAUGUUGUUAGGGUUGCUUUAUUCAUCGUUUGUAUGCAUGUGUGCUAUUUUAUAUAUUUCCUGUGUCUUUUGAUCUUGUUUAUGUUAGUAUAUCAGGUAAAACUAAGAAAUCUCUUGUAUAUCAUUAAUGGUUUCAGUGUUUCAAUAUGUGAUUAAGAUCUCAGAUUUAUUAAGCAAUAUGGAGGACAACACUGAAAAGACUCUCGGAGAGCUUUCGACACCAGAUUUGUCAAAUACGUCCUUCUGCAUCAGAUACUCUGACUUGGAUGCAGACUUUGAGUUAUGGCAAAUCAUACAUUUAUUAUUGAAGUGCUUAUGGACUUUCUGGUAAGGAUCCCAAUAUACAUCUACAAGAAUUGGAUAUGGUGUGUUCUACAUUAAAACCCCAUGGCAUAUCAGAUGAAGAUGUUAGCCUUCAAGCAUUUCCAUUCUGACUAGCGGAUUCAGCAAAAGAUUGGUUGUACUGUCUCCCACCUGAUUUUAUUCCCAACUGGUUUAAGAUGAAGAAAUUAUUUCUGGGAUGGAAGUGUAGGUACUAGUGUUGUGGAGACAAAGUCCUAAAAAUCGCUUCCUUUGAUUACACUACGAUCUAUGCCAGUUGAGUCUGUAGUUCUACUUAUUGCCGAUGGAAGUGUAGGGACAACCCAAGAAUCACUUCCUUCGAUUGUACAACUACUAGAGCUAGAUCCUUUACUAGUCCAAGAGAAUACCACAUUCACUGUUCUAGAUCCUCCAGUCAAUCAUGUCAGGAUGUAUUCUACCAAUUGAAGAAAGCCCUAUUCCUAUAUGCAAUAAUGAAGCUUCUGGAGUAGAUACUCCAACUAAACCGUCUUCGACCAUCAGAGAAAAUUUUCGAGGAGACGAUGACGGAGGGAGCAGUCCUCACUUCACCUUUUACCGUCCUACUUUCAGAUUGGCUUCUAGAAUUGAAUUGACUCCGCCUGCUAGAAAUUCAAGGGAAUCUAUUCCAUCUAACUUUUUCUUUUUCUUUCUUCUUAUAUAUAUUUCUUUACUUUGUUUACUUUUUCUUGCUAGUUCAAUUCUAGUUUAUCUUGUCGAUUUUCAUAAUAAAUUUUCUUUGCAUUUUUUUAGCAUCUUA